rnacentral:rRNA from 1 species
UCGCUUUUUUUAUCAAAAACAUCGCCUCGUGCAAAAACCAAUAUAUAGGAGGUCUUGCCUGCCCAGUGACUAGUUAAACGGCCGCGUUAUUUUGGCCGUGCGAAGGUAGCGCAAUCAUUUGUUUUUUAAAUGAAGACCGGUAUGAAUGGUGGAAGGAGGGUUUAACUGUCUCCCCCUUCAAGUCAAUGAAAUUGAUCUGCCCGUGCAGAAGGGGACAUAAAAAUGCAAGACGAGAAGACCCUUUGGAGCUUAAGAUACAAGAUCAAUUAUGUCAAGAACCAAAAAGUUAAACUAAAUAGCAACUGAUCCUUAUCUUUGGUUGGGGCGACCGGGGGAGAAAGAAAGUUCCCUUCUGACUGGGGAAUCCCUAGAACCAAGAAAGACAUUUUUAAGUCACAGAAUAUGUGACCAUAAGAUCCGGCCCCCCGACGACCAACGGACCGAAGUUACCCUAGGGAUAGCGAGCCGCUAUCUUUUUUUUUUCUUUAGU